CGGCGCCCCCUCCCCCCGCCGGAGCCGGGCGCGUCAUGCCCCGCGUCUCAGUGGCGGGCUGCAGCCUUGCCGGGGCGCAUCGCGGGGAGGAGCCGGCCUGCCGCUCUGCCACUCGGGCGGCGGAUCCGAGCCACGCGGAGGAGAGUCUCGCCCUGCUCCUGCCGCCGGUGGAGGAGCGGCGGGGGCGCGCCCGGAGGAUGAGCCCCGGCGCGAGCCCCUGGCCCGCCAGAGCGCCCCCCGCGCAGGCAGAGCGCGGGACGGGCUGAGGAGCCGGCGCGGAGCAGCACCCCCGACGGACUGACAGGCGGGCGGGCAGGCGGGCGGGAGAGCGGCCCCCCUGGAGAGAGCGGCCGGCGCACGGGGCCCGUCCCGCGGCGGGAGGGCUGGUGGCGGGGGCGGCGCCCGGCAUGCUGCGCUGCCGGAACUCCUGCCCGGCUCAGAGGUCCCCGGCGCCGCGGGCUGCCCAUGGCGGCUCCCCCCGCCGCUCGGGGCCGCCGCCCGCCUGAAUGCUGUGGGUCGGGCUGCGCUGCCGCGAUGCCGCUGCCCUGGCGCUGAGCCCCCGGCAGCGGCGGCGGCGGCGGAGGACGGCGGCGCCCAUGGCGCGGGGGCGCGGGGCGCGGCGGGCACCGCUGCUGCGCCCCCGGCUGCACGGCCUGCGGCACAUGUGCUCGCGGAGGGCGGCGCUGCAGCGGCGGGCGCUCUGGGUGCUGGCUUUCUGCACCUCGCUGGGCUUGCUGCUCUCCUGGUCCUCGAACCGGCUGCUGCACUGGCUCGCCUUCCCGUCGCACACCCAGGUGCGCACCGAGUGGAGCCGCCAGCUGCCCUUCCCCGCCGUCACCGUCUGCAACAACAACCCGCUGCGCUUCCCCCGCCUCUCCAAGGGCGACCUCUACUACGCGGGCCACUGGCUGGGGCUGCUGCUGCCCAACCGCACGGCCCGCCCGCUGCUGGCCGAGCUGCUCCGCGGCGACGAGUCGCGCCUCCGGUGGUUCGCCAAGCUCGCGGAUUUCCGCCUCUUCCUGCCGCCCCGCCACUACGAGGGCAUCAGCGCCCAGUUCAUGGACCGCCUGGGCCACCAGCUGGACGACAUGCUGCUCUCCUGCAAGUACCGCGGCGAGCUCUGCGGGCCCCAGAACUUCUCCGCGGUGUUUACAAAAUAUGGGAAAUGCUACAUGUUUAACUCAGGAGAAGAAGGGCGGCCUCUGCUUACUACAGUCAAAGGUGGGACAGGCAAUGGAUUGGAACUCAUGCUGGACAUACAGCAAGAUGAAUAUUUACCAAUAUGGGGAGAAACAGAGGAAACUACAUUUGAAGCUGGAGUCAAAGUUCAGAUCCACAGCCAGUCUGAGCCACCAUUCGUCCAAGAGCUUGGUUUUGGAGUGGCCCCUGGAUUUCAGACCUUUGUCGCCACACAAGAGCAAAGGCUGACAUACUUGCCCCCUCCGUGGGGUGAAUGUCGCUCCUCAGAUAUGGGUUUAGCCUUCUUUCCUGUUUACAGUAUCACAGCUUGCAGGAUUGACUGUGAAACUCGAUACAUCGUGGAGAACUGCAACUGCAAAAUGGUUCAUAUGCCAGGGGAUGCACCUUUCUGUACUCCUGAGCAGUAUAAGGAAUGUGCAGAACCUGCUCUAGGUAUGCUUGUUGAAAAGGACAGCAAUUACUGUAUCUGCAGCACACCGUGCAACCUAACAAGGUACAACAAAGAGCUAUCCAUGGUGAAAAUCCCCAGCAAGACUUCAGCCAAGUAUCUGGAGAAAAAAUUCAACAAGUCGGAAAAAUACAUCUCAGAGAAUAUUCUUGUGCUGGAUAUAUUUUUUGAAGCACUCAACUACGAGACCAUUGAACAGAAGAAAGCAUACGAAGUGGCAGCCUUACUUGGUGACAUUGGAGGUCAGAUGGGACUAUUUAUUGGUGCUAGUAUCCUGACAAUUCUAGAGCUCUUUGAUUAUAUUUAUGAGCUGAUUAAGGAAAAACUCUUAGAUCUGCUUGGCAAGGAGGAGGAGGAGGGGAGCCAUGAUGAAAAUGUGAGCACUUGUGACCCCAUGCCAAAUCAUUCCGAAACCAUCAGCCACACUGUGAACGUGCCCCUGCAGGCCACCCUGGGAACGCUGGAAGAAAUAGCUUGCUGACACCUUCCUAACAGCUCUGUGGUGCGAAGACCUAACAGAAGGAAUCUGCACAGGAAAGCAGGGAUCAAGCUCAGUGAGAGACACCUUGGACUUGACUUGCGUCAUCCUUUCCUGUGGGGGAUCAUCUUCAGGAUCUGAAGACACAGUUUAUUUUUGAACUGUACAAACAACCAACACCAAUAAAACAACAAAACCACCAUUUCAUAUACUGCCAAAUGUAUAAAGCACUUGCAUGCUGAUACUUUUUAUGGCAAUAUAUUCCUAUCUGUCUUUAUAAGCUCUGUUCCUCUUUACAGCCUCUGAUUUUCACUACCAAGAAGGAAUUUGCAGGCCCAGCCAUCCCCAAAAUCACCAUUACUAAUAUCGUAGCUGAAUUAGAAUAAAGAAACAAACAAACUUGCA